rnacentral:tRNA from 1 species
GGAAGGGCAACCCGAUGGGUGACGGGAACCGGUUGGAAGCCGGGUGAGCCUUGCGGCCUUGAGGGUUCGACUCCCUCUCCUUCCG